rnacentral:rRNA from 1 species
AUGAUAAACCACAUACAACAGUCAUGUGGAAUGGGUUCGAUAAAAUCACCCACCAUUAUCUAUGAAGAUAAUGCGGCCUGCGUUGCACAAAUGCAAACAGAAUACAUUAAGAGUAAUAUCACCAAGCAUAUUUCUCCUAAAUGGUUUUCUCCCCAUAAUCUUCAGAAAAGCAGGGAAAUAAGCAUUCUGCAAGUCAACCAAGUCUACCAAAUUCAACAUUCCAGAGAUAUGUUCAUGGAAUUGGUAUGCGACGACUUAGGGACUUGCAGGUGUCAGGGGGAGUCUCUUCUUGAGAUAUCCUUAUUUGAAUGA